UACGUAGGGGGCGAGCGUUGUCCGGAUUCAUUGGGCGUAAAGCGCUUUAAGGCGGUUCGCUAAGUCGCGUGUGAAAACUCCAGGCUCAACCUGGAGACGCCACGCGAUACUGGCGUGACUAGAGUUCGGUAGGGGAUCACGGAAUUCCUGGUGUAGCGGUGAAAUGCGCAGAGUAUCAGGAGGAACACCGGUGGCGAAGGCGGUGAUCUGGGCCGACACUGACGCUGGUAGAGCGAAAGCGUGGGGAGCGAACAGGA
rnacentral:rRNA from 1 species